ensembl:lncRNA
ACUGCAACCGGCCUCAGAGGAGGGCUGGUCACAGUGUAAAGAUCUCGGAAGGCAGGAACAUCCUCGAGGAGACCAAGUAGAGCCUCCCUCACAUUAGAGAAAAAGGCCUGGCUGCCGUGUGCUCCUCAGCCAAGCUACAGCCAAGCAUCCCUCUGGGAUACACUUAUAUGACGGCCCAGUGCACUGAACAUCACAGGAAAGAAUCAGGAAUGGUUCCUUCUCAUUUUUGAUGUUUGGGCCUUUGGAAGCUGGAAAGAGACUUUGCUGGGAGCUGUCUGAAGAAACAGUGAGGGGUGGUGAGGGGGAGAUGAGAGCACAGAGAGGAUAUUGGAAAUUUCUGGAUCUCUGGGCUUUGAGGAGUUUCGGCAUCAAACCAUCUGCCCCCUUUCCACACAGAACAGAAGAAAGGCAGUGUGCAGGCCCAGAUUCUCUGCUCUGUGGUUUGAAAUGUUUCCAGGGAAAGCACGAACACUCCCAAGAACCCUAAGGACUGAGAAAAGUGCCUAACCCACAAUGGAUGUUCAGCAAAGGGUCAUUGAAUCAAUAACUCAAAGUCAAGAAGGAAAAUAAAGUUCCAAAUAUGAUCAUCUGGAAAGAGAUUUGGAGUAUGCUUCACACUCAUGACAAACAAACGGUACUAAGAGAUGGUCGCCAGAGCCACCAGCAAGCCUGGUAAGCAGAAUGGGGGUGUUACUUUGCAGAGCCAAAGGGACAAUGCUGCAAACAGAUCUUCAGAUUUCAGAGCAAGUGCCCAGUGCUCCAUUUCUGCAGCGUGGAGGGUGGCUAUUGCCUGUCUCUAUGAUACUGAGGACUCUGCACCAGCAACUGGCCAUCAGUUCCUUGCUAGUGAAGUAUUUCUAAGAACCACAAUGACUAUUAACUCCAGGAUUAAGAUUAUAUUCAAGUCAUAUUACCAACCUCAGUUAACUGCUCACAAAGUGCACAUUUUUCAAGCAAUGUGGAAGUGACCAGACGCAUCACUGGCAGACAUGCUUAGUGGCCUAUCCCACAGCAUCCACUGCUCCGUGCCCCUCCCCUGCCCCCCCACCAUCCUUCUCUGUGAGAAGACAUUCACCCUAAUUUGGUUUGGGUUGGCAAUGGGCCCAGGCCUAAAGGGUGACUAUGAUAAAUGAGAAAACAAUUGUGAUAAUUCCAUCCCCCCUUUGCAGGUACUGCUUUACCUCACAUAACGACUGCUCAGUCUUCAGUCAGACUUUUUGCUAUCAUGGCUCUUGAAAAGUUGCACCACUUUGUGAACAAUGACUCCCUUUUUCCCCCAACAGAUUGACCUUUUCCACCCCAAAACACACUAAACAAAUAUGCUGUAAGACGUGAUAUGACAUCAUUGCAGUCUCAGGCUGAGUCCCGCUCACCAAUUUUACUCGACAUAUAUUUACUUGUCAGAGCACAUCAUAUGGAAUGAAUUUGGAUUGAGCAUCAU